rnacentral:rRNA from 1 species
CCCAGACAGCCAGGAUGUUGGCUUAGAAGCAGCCAUCAUUUAAAGAAAGCGUAAUAGCUCACUGGUCGAGUCGGCCUGCGCGGAAGAUGUAACGGGGCUAAACCAUGCACCGAAGCUGCGGCAGCGACACUGUGUGUUGUUGGGUAGGGGAGCGUUCUGUAAGCCUGCGAAGGUGUCCCGUGAGGGAUGCUGGAGGUAUCAGAAGUGCGAAUGCUGACAUAAGUAACGAUAAAGCGGGUGAAAAGCCCGCUCGCCGGAAGACCAAGGGUUCCUGUCCAACGUUAAUCGGGGCAGGGUGAGUCGACCCCUAAGGCGAGGCCGAAAGGCGUAGUCGAUGGGAAACGGGUUAAUAUUCCCGUACUUGGUGUUACUGCGAAGGGGGGACGGAGAAGGCUAUGUUGGCCGGGCGACGGUUGUCCCGGUUUAAGCGUGUAGGCUGGUUUUCCAGGCAAAUCCGGAAAAUCAAGGCUGAGGCGUGAUGACG